UCUUUCAAAUCUCAAUCAGAUGUGUAGCAUGAAAUAUAAGGCUUUUAAUAAUUUAGUCAUCCUAUCUGGAGGCUACAAUUAACAUGCAUCAAUAGGUCAUAUACCUUACUUUGUCUUCAGGUACUGCACUUACGGGGGGAGAUGGCUACAUCUUCACAAUAAUUUACACUGCCAUAGUACACUGCUAAACAGUACUGUAACAUGGAUUUGUAUCAGGCUAUGAAGUCAUUUAAAGCAUAACUUUACUUUUCAGGGGGACAUGCUCUCUAUCAGGAGGUGGUGGUGUGGACAGCUGUUGGAGACCUUUAUGCUUGAAAGCCCUGCAGAACUAGCUGGCUCCUUCUCACCCUCUCCAUCUCCCCAUCUCAGUCACACCUUCCAAUCACUAAGCAGUGAAAGCCCUGCAGGACUAGCUGGCACACCAAGCUCACCCUCUCCAUCUCCCCAUCUCAGCCACACGCUCCAAUCUGGCACAACAGAGGACCGGCCAUUCUUACCACCCGAAGUCCUUCAGCAAAUUGUACAAGAGACGCUGAGACUGGACAUGGCGAUGCUUGGCGUGUUCAACAGGGUUUCAAACACAUUCCGAGAACUAAUCAAGCCUCUCCACCCUUCCAUAUAUAUAAAUGACAGUUUGGCAG